rnacentral:rRNA from 1 species
CCUACGGGAGGCAGCAGUGGGGAAUCUUGCGCAAUGGGCGAAAGCCUGACGCAGCAACGCCGCGUGCGGGAUGAAGGCCUUCGGGUUGUAAACCGCUUUCAGCAGGGAAGAAAUUGACGGUACCUGCAGAAGAAGCCCCGGCCAACUACGUGCCAGCAGCCGCGGUAACACGUAGGGGGCGAGCGUUGUCCGGAUUUAUUGGGCGUAAAGAGCUCGUAGGCGGUUCGGUAAGUCGGGUGUGAAACCUCCAGGCUCAACCUGGAGACGCCACCUGAUACUGCUGUGACUAGAGUCCGGUAGGGGAGUGUGGAACUCCUGGUGUAGCGGUGAAAUGCGCAGAUAUCAGGAAGAACACCAGCGGCGAAGGCGGCACUCUGGGCCGGUACUGACGCUGAGGAGCGAAAGCGUGGGUAGCAAACAGGAUUAGAUACCCUGGUAGUCCACGCCGUAAACGUUGGGCACUAGGUGUGGGUCUCAACCAACGAGAUCCGUGCCGCAGCUAACGCAUUAAGUGCCCCGCCUGGGGAGUACGGCCGCAAGGCUAAAACUUAAGGAAUUGACGG